rnacentral:tRNA from 1 species
GCGCCGGUGGUGUAAAGAGAGAGCAUUCCCGCCCGGUCAGAGGGAGGUGCGGGUUCGAGUCCCACCUGGCGCU